rnacentral:rRNA from 1 species
UGGGAAUUUUGGACAAUGGGCGCAAGCCUGAUCCAGCCAUGCCGCGUGCGGGAAGAAGGCCUUCGGGUUGUAAACCGCUUUUGUCAGGGAAGAAAUCUUCUGAGUUAAUACCUCGGGAGGAUGACGGUACCUGAAGAAUAAGCACCGGCUAACUACGUGCCAGCAGCCGCGGUAAUACGUAGGGUGCAAGCGUUAAUCGGAAUUACUGGGCGUAAAGCGUGCGCAGGCGGUUUUGUAAGACAGAGGUGAAAUCCCCGGGCUCAACCUGGGAACUGCCUUUGUGACUGCAAGGCUUGAGUGCGGCAGAGGGGGGAUGGAAUUCCGCGUGUAGCAGUGAAAUGCGUAGAUAUGCGGAGGAACACCGAUGGCGAAGGCAAUCCCCUGGGCCUGCACUGACGCUCAUGCACGAAAGCGUGGGGAGCAAAACAGGAUUAGAUACCCUGGUAGUCC